rnacentral:tRNA from 3 species
CUCCCCUUGGUGUAGUUGGUUCAUCACGUUCGACUGUAAUGGUUGCAUUGUCAUCGAAAGGUCUCUAGUUCGAUUCUGGAAGGGGAGA